rnacentral:rRNA from 3 species
AAAUUGAAGAGUUUGAUCAUGGCUCAGAUUGAACGCUGGCGGCAGGCCUAACACAUGCAAGUCGAACGGUAGCACAGAGAGCUUGCUCUCGGGUGACGAGUGGCGGACGGGUGAGUAAUGUCUGGGAAACUGCCUGAUGGAGGGGGAUAACUACUGGAAACGGUGGCUAAUACCGCAUAAUGUCGCAAGACCAAAGAGGGGGACCUUCGGGCCUCUUGCCAUCAGAUGUGCCCAGAUGGGAUUAGCUAGUUGGUGAGGUAACGGCUCACCAAGGCGACGAUCCCUAGCUGGUCUGAGAGGAUG